GUGAGGUGGCGGCGGUAAUCUUUUCCGUGAGGUCCUCAGUUGCUUGUGCCCGGUAGCUCUGGUCUACUGGGUCGGGCUCCGCUCAGCUUGAGGUGCUCAACGGACUUAAGGUGCUCACUGAAGAUGCAGAAAGCCCACAUGGGAGGAAGGCGACAGUGCAGUGCGGAAAGAGACUGGCGAUGCGCUUCAGCUAAGCCCGUGCGUCACCAAGCUUGUCUGGGGGCUGGAAGAUCCCCAGGCCGAGCAGAGUAAUGUCCACUCUUGCCCUGGACAUUACGGUGCACCCGAAUAGCUCCAAGAUUUGAGGACGCUUUUGGAAGCAUCAACUAGGACUGAAGCUGAAUACUCAUCUCUCUGCACUUCUGGAUCACCAGUGUUGGGAAAGCUACCAUGAAGCAGCUGUUAAGUAAUUAACAACCCCCCCCCC